UACGGAGGGUGCAAGCGUUAUCCGGAUUCACUGGGUUUAAAGGGUGCGUAGGCGGGCAGGUAAGUCAGUGGUGAAAUCUCGGGGCUUAACUCCGAAACUGCAUUCGAUACUGCCGUGCUUGAGGACUGGAGAGGAGACUGGAAUUCCCGGUGUAGUGGUGAAAUGCGUAGAUAUCGGGAGGAACACCGGUGGCGAAGGCGGGUCUACUGGGCCGAUACUGGACGCUGAGGAGCGAAAGCGUGGGGAGCGAACAGG
rnacentral:rRNA from 1 species